UUUAAAGUGUAGUGUAGGUUGCUUUGGAUAAAAGCGUCUGCUAAAUGACAUGUA
rfam:Gasterosteus aculeatus cont1.005027, whole genome shotgun sequence.